UGUUUUCAUAUAGAGGGUAGAUGUAAUUAACGGCAGUCUGUAUCUGAACAUUAAACGUAGCACAUCAGUAUCCUAUAAUUUGGAGUUUUUUUUGGAAACCUACGUCCAGGACACAACAAUUGGCGACGAUAUCGAUAUCUACGUGUGCACAGAACGUAUUUUUCAAUAAGUGGUUGGAAAAAAAAUGGCUACAUCAAGUGCAAAUGUAAUGUUCGGCAGCAGCCUAAAUUUUGACCAUCGGAUUCACGAAUGGAGUAUUUUCAAGAGCAAAUUGUUUCAAUUCUGUACUGUUAAUGACAUUAAUGAAACAACGGACAAGUCAGAAGUGAAACGCCGUGCUGUGUUAUUGUCGGCCUUAUCGGAAGAUACCUACCGCAUUCUUCGGGAUUUAGUGGCACCAAAGGAGGUUGACGGCGCGGAAUACAAGGUCUUGUUAGGACAUCUCGAUGCUCAUUUCACGCCCAAGAAGAGUACUUUCGCGGAACGUUACACUUUCUACAAAGCUGAACAGCGUCCGGGUGAAGAAUUGCCAGAUUGGGCGGCGCGAGUGCGUAGCCUGGCCCAAUAAUACUGUGGUUUUAAAACGGAGCUGGACAGUGUGUUACGUGACAGGUUUGUCUUAGGGUUGGAGAACGUGAAAGAAAAAGAGAAAUUAUUUGCCGAAAGCGUCGACACUUUGACGUUCAGCAAGGCUAUAGAAUUAGCGCAAAGUGUGCGUUGCGCGAGAUUGGCGUUGAAAAAAACACAACCGUCGGUGCCCGAAACUCCAGUGUUUACCGUAAAUACGUCGCGCGCACAACGUAACCCUCGUACUAGUGUAGAAAGUUGUGAAGUUUGCGGCUACAAAAAUCAUGCAAAAGAGCAGUGUCGUUUUAUUAAUUAUACGUGUCAAAAGUGUAAACAGAAGGGACAUCUCUAAGGCGAAUGUGCAAGUCCAAAGUCCGAAGGAAUUAUUUUAUAGCCGAGGAGGACAACGAUAUCAUUCAAGAUCUCACAAACUAAGAACUAUGGAGGGCGGCGGAAGGUGUGUUUUGAGGAAGGAGAUCACGUGUUAGUUAAACAUAUAUUUAGUAACGGCAAUAAGCACGUAUGGAAAAAAGGUUAUGUACAAAAAUCUAUAGGUAAUAUGUUAUAUUUAGUCCAUAUAAUAGAUUUAGAUAUUAUUGUUAAGAAACAUGUAGACCAAUUAUUGUUGUACAAAGGAAGUCAAACUGUGUGCACUACUAGUGAUAACCAAGAAAUUUCAGAUCUGGAAAUAACAAUUAAUGAGUCUUUAUCUCCAAAUCAUGUAGCGGUGGCACAACCAGCGAUCGAAGGCCAGAGCCCUGAGUCAAGUUUACUCGAAAUUGGGAAUGAGUCACAUGAGCCUUGUCAAUCGCUGGUACCGAGGGAAAGUGCACCCCCCGCCUCCGUAGUCUCGCCUGCUGCCAGGUCGGUGUCUCAUGAUGAUGUUUUUUUGGACUGUGAGACGGAGGGUACCGAGGCCAUCUUGGAUCCUGCGACGAAUGCCGAUCGUCGUAAUAUCCGAGCCACUCGGAAUCCUAAUCCAGUUUAUAAAUGAAUACCGACGUCCAUUUUAGUACAUAAGUUUUCUAAUGUAUUUAUUAGACUAAGUAUCUAUUUUAAUUUUAAGAAGCUUUCUUUGCUAUUGGUGGAGGAAUUGUUAUGUUUUCAUAUAGAGGGUAGAUGUAAUUUACGGCGGUCUGUAUCUGAACAUUAAACGUAGCACAUCAGUAUCCUAUAA